rnacentral:lncRNA from 1 species
UGGGCAGUUUUAUUAUACUUUGAAACAGAGUCGACGCAAGACUAUGCAAUUGAUAGAGCAAACCUGCGGAAGCUUGAAAUGAGUCCAAGGAAGAAGCCUUGAUUAACAAGAGAGAAACAAGAAGCAAGAGAUGCAGAAACCCUAAGGUUGCAAUGAGAAGAACAGAGAUAGGGUAAAGCAAUGUCGUGAAGAAAAAGAAGAAGAAAGGGAAAAAGGAAUAUCAAUUCAAUAUUACUGAAAAACCCAAUCUGUCAAAGCAUUACAAAAGUGAAUAUAUGGUACUGGAAAGGAAAAAGUAGAAAUAAAGGCCCAAAGAUCCAGAGGCCCAAAAAAUAGAAAAACCCAAUAAAAACAUAACAAAUAUUCUUUAUCACCCCUCCUCAAGCUGGGAGUAUAAGUUCGUCAUUCCCAGCUUGGAUUGAAGCACAUUAAAGAUGGAAGGAGGUAAAGGCUUGGUGAAUAUAUCUGCUGUCUGCAUGGAGGAAGGGAUGGGAAGUAGCUUGAUCAGUCCAGCAUGUAGUUUUUCCCUAACCAGAUGGCAGUCGAUUUCUAUAUGUUUGGUCCGUUCGUGGAAUACUUGAUUGGAAGCAAUUUGUAUUGUUGACUGAUUAUCACAGUAAAGUGUGGCUGGUUGAAUGAAAGGAAUGUGGAAAUCAUGGAGCAGAUAGGAUAGCCAUUGUAUCUCGCAAGUGGUGGCUGCGAGAGCUCUAUACUCAGCCUCAGAUGAACUUCUGGAUAUGGUCUGUUGCUUUUUUGAUUUCCAGGAAAUGAGAGAGUCACCUAGAUAAAUAGAGAAACCUGUAACUGAUUUUCUUGUCUCAGUACAAGCUGCCCAAUCUGAAUCACUGUAUGCCUUGAGCUGGGUUGUGCUUGCUGCUAAAAGAAAAAUUCCAUGGCCAGGUGCAUUCUUGAGGUAUCGAAGGAUGCGAAAAACAGCAUGAUGAUGAACGGUGGUAGGUGCAGAAACAAAUUGGCUGAGCUUGUUCACGCUGAAUGUAAUGUCUGGUCUUGUGUUUGUCAAGUAGAUAAGGCGUCCUAGCAGUCUUCGGUAAGAGGAUGAUUCUGCAGCAUCUAGAGGGACACCUUGAGUGCUAUAUGGAGGUGAAGAAUGAACCAUAGGUGUUGGAACAGGGGCACAUCCAAGCAUUCCUGUUUCAUGAAGAAGAUCCAUGGUAUAUUUGCGUUGUGAAAGGUGGAUUCCAGUGCUGUUUCUGGCAACUUCCAGACCAAGGAAAAAAGUGAGAUUGCCCAGAUUCUUGAUUUUAAAAUGUUGAUGCAGCAGAUUGGUGAUGUGGGUGAUUUCCUCAGUGUUGUUCCCGGUGAGAACAAUGUCAUCAACAUACACAAGAAGAGCAGUUAUGUGAUUAUCAGUAGUUUUUAAGAAUAAUGAGUGAUCAGCAGUAGAUAUAAUGUAACCAUUAUUAAGUAAAAAAAUUGGAUAAUUUGGCAUACCAUUGUCUGCCGGCCUGACGUAGACCAUAGAGGGAGCGUUGCAGUUUGCAGACAAUAUGGGAAUUAGGAACAACAACUCCAGGUGGUGGCUUCAUGUAGACUUCUUCAAGUAACUCUCCAUGAAGAAAGGCGUUGUUAACAUCGAGCUGUUUCAGAUUCCAAUUAUGAGAUGCAGCUAGCGCAAGUAACAAGCGCAGGGUAGUCAGCUUUGCGACCGGGGCAAAGGUGUCAAGGAAGUCGAGUCCUUCAAGUUGGGUGUAACCCUUGGCAACGAGGCGUGCUUUGUAGCGAUCAAUCGUGCCAUCAGAUUUGUGUUUGAGUUUGUAAAUCCAUCGACAUCCAAUUGCUUUCUUUCCCGAUAGCAGAGGCACAAGAAUCCAUGUAUGAUUAGCUGAGAGAGCUUCCAGUUCGUCCGCCAUGGCCUUUUUCCAGCAGUCAUGUUUGGAAGCAUCCUCAUAAUUUUUGGGUUCAAUAGAAGAAGAAAAGGAAGUAAUAAGACCUUUAAAAUUAGGAGAUAAAGCAGAAUAUGAUACAAAAUCAGUAAUGGGAUAUUUAGUACUUACACUGUGUGUAGAUGACGAAUCAGUAUUGAAGUCCUGAAGGUAAGCGGGAGGUCUCUUUGCCCUGGUUGAUCUCCUUGGUGAAGUAUUAGUCAUAUUUCCAGUGGGUAUAAUGAGCUCAGUAGCAGUAUUGCAAUUGUCAGAAAAAAAAUCAUAGUGUGAAUUGUAAGACUGUGGAAUAGGCAGAGACAAAUUGUUGGGACUAUCAUUUUUAUCAUCUUUCAAAUUAUAUGGAAAGAUAUUUUCAUAAAAGACAGUAUGUCUUGAGAUCUCAAUUUUAUGAUUUUUAAGAUUAAGAAAAAGGUAACCUUUAGUGUGAGGUUGAAAACCUAAAAAAAUACCAGACACAGAUCUGUCAUCAAGUUUCUUUCUGUGAGAAGUAAUAGUGCUAGAAUAACAAAGACAACCGAAAACACGCAAAGAAGAAAUAUCAUAAAGAAAGCCAUGUAACUUUUCAUAAGGAGUCACGUUUUGCAAUAAAGGGGUUGGGAUACAAUUAAUUAGUAAAACAGCAUCCAAAACAACAAAUUGCCAAAAGAUGGGGGGUAAAUUGGCUUGAAAAAGCAAAGCACGAGUAACAUUAAGAAUAUGCUGGUGUUUACGUUCGGCAAUACCGUUUUGUUCCGGUGUCUCAACACAAGUUUUUUGAUGGAUUAUGCCUUUAGAAGAAAACAGAUUAUUCAUGGCAAAUUCAGCACCAUUAUCAGAGCGUAUAGUUUUGACAGUGGUGUGAAAAUGAUUUUCAACAUAAGAUAAAAAACUAAUAAUGUGUGUUCUAACUUCAGAUUUCAUGCACAUAGGAAUCACCCAAGUAUAACGAGAAAAAUCAUCCACAAUAGUUAAAAAAUAUCGAAAACCAUGCAUGGAAAUAAUAGAACAAGGGCCCCAAAUAUCCAUAUGUAAAAGAUCAAAGAUAUUAGAAGUAUUGGAAUUACUUAAAGGGAAAGAGAGUUUUCUUUGUUUUGCUCUAUGGCAAGUAUCACACNNNNNNNNNNNNNNNNNNNNNNNNNNNNNNNNNNNNNNNNNNNNNNNNNNNNNNNNNNNNNNNNNNNNNNNNNNNNNNNNNNNNNNNNNNNNNNNNNNNNACAUGCAUUCUUUCAUUAGAAAGAUGUCCCAGUCUAUUGUGCCACACAUUAACAUCCUUAGAAAUACAAUGAACAGAAGGAAUGUAUCUGUUGGAGGCAUUUCUUUGAAAGAUAGAAGGAUGAAAAACAUACAAGCCAUUUUUGGCCUCAACUAUACCAAUCUUCUCUUUCGUUAAAUUGUCCUGUAUCACACAAUCCUUAGAUGAGAAAAUCAAAUGACAGUUCAAAUUUAAAGCAAGUUUGGAUGCAGAAACAAGAUUGAAGGUAAACUCAGGCACAUACAAAACAUCAGUAAGGUAAAGUUUAUCAUUAAAAGCCACAGUUCCAGAACAACUAGUAUAAAAUCGAUGACCAUUCGGCAAACUGAUAAGGACAGGUUUAAUAAUUUUAUAUGAUGUAAAAUCAGAUAAACAAGUACAAACAUGAUCAGUUGCUCCUGAAUCUAAUAUCCAAGAACCUUUAACAGUAGUAUAGACAUUAGAGAAAAUGACAUUACCCGUUAAAGAAUCCUUUUGAUCUUUAUUGACAGCAAAAGAGCCCACUUGAUUCAACUGUACAGGGGGUUGAUUUGCAAUAUUAUUGAUGGAGUUUUGCUUGAUCAGUGCUGAUAAAACUUGAUAUUGUUGGACUGUGAAUACAGAGGGCAUGUCCCCAUUUAUCUGUUCUUGUUGACAAAUUUCAGAAGAAACAUCAUCAGUUACAUUAGCAUUGAGUAAAGGAGUGGUCCUGCUAUUAGGUGGGUUAUAACCCGGAGGGAAACCAUGUUUCCUGUAACAAGUAUCAAUGGUAUGACCAUUCUUGCCGCAAUGGGUACAAAUCUUUCUAUUGCUAUUGAACCUAAACUUUUUAUUUUCCUGAUUGGGAAACCCCACCUUUUUGAAGCAAAUAUUCUCAGUGUGACCAAAUUUUCCACAGAAAGAGCAAGUAGGAGCAGAAUUACGACUAGCACUAGCAUGGUUAAUAUUCGGAAUCAAAAAGUUACUUGCUAAUUGGCGUUCUUGCUGGGCUACCAAAGAAAUUUUUUUAGAAAUAGGUGGUACCGGUUCCAUAAGAAGAACGUGCGAUCGAAUGUUGUUGAAUUGGUCAUUAAGCCCACGUAGAAAUUGCAUAGCAUGGUCUUCGCGUUUUCUUUUACUGAUAUCAGAAGCUACAGAGGAAGUACACUUAACUUGACAAACACAUACAGGGUUAGGUUGAAAGUUAUCAAGCUCAUCCCAAAUAACUCUGAGUUUUGUAAAAUAGUCAAUUACACAUAAAUCAUUCUGACUCAAUGAGGAUGCUUCAGAUUGCAAAUCAGAAAUCCUAGAGAGAUCACCUUGCGAAUAUCUGGUUUUCAAGUCGUUCCAGAUAUCGACAGCUACAUCCAUCCAAAUAAUACUUUGUCUAAUAGGGAGAGAUACCGAAUGUACUAACCACGAAACAACCAUGUUGUUGCAUCUAAUCCAAGCUGAUUAUGUAGAGUCGUUCGUUGGUGGACAGGGAUGAGUACCCAAAACGAAUUCCACCUUAUUCUUUGCACUCAGCGCUGUUACGAUGGACCUGCUCCAGGAAUGGUAAUUCGUCGAGUCAAGCACUGGCGAGACCAAUGAAGCUGCUGGAUUCUCACCAGGAUGGAGAUACAGGUAACUGCUUGUGGAGGGUUCCAACGUUGGUGUAGUUGUUCUCGUUGUUCGUCCUUCUGCCAUUUCGCUGAAAGAAAACAAGAAACAGGUCGUAAACACAUAAAAGAUUCAUAAAGAAAGAGAAGAUGAAAGGAGAGUAGAGCGCGCAGCAGAGCUCUUCAAAGGAAGAGCUCUGAUACCAAAACAGAGUCGACGCAAGACUAUGCAAUUGAUAGAGCAAACUUGCGGAAGCUUGAAAUGAGUCCAAGGAAGAAGCCUUGAUUAACAAGAGAGAAACAAGAAGCAAGAGAUGCAGAAACCCUAAGGUUGCAAUGAGAAGAACAGAGAUAGGGUAAAGCAAUGUCGUGAAGAAAAAGAAGAAGAAAGGGAAAAAGGAAUAUCAAUUCAAUAUUACUGAAAAACCCAAUCUGUCAAAGCAUUACAAAAGUGAAUAUAUGGUACUGGAAAGGAAAAAGCAGAAAUAAAGGCCCAAAGAUCCAGAGGCCCAAAAAAUAGAAAAACCCAAUAAAAACAUAACAGAUAUUCUUUAUCACU